CUACGGGACGCUGCAGUGAGGAAUAUUGCACAAUGGGGGGAACCCUGAUGCAGCAACGCCGCGUGGAGGAUGACGCAUUUCGGUGUGUAAACUCCUUUUAUAUGUCAAGAAAAUGACGGUAGCAUAUGAAUAAGCACCGGCUAACUCCGUGCCAGCAGCCGCGGUAAUACGGAGGGUGCAAGCGUUACUCGGAAUCACUGGGCGUAAAGGACGCGUAGGCGGGUUGGAAAGUCAGGUGUGAAAUCCUACAGCUUAACUGUAGAACUGCACUUGAAACUUCUAAUCUAGAGUAUGGGAGGGGGAGAUGGAAUUAGUGGUGUAGGGGUAAAAUCCGUAGAUAUCACUAGGAAUACCUGAAGCGAAGGCGAUCUCCUGGAACAUUGCUGACGCUAAGGCGUGAAAGCGUGGGGAGCAAACAGGAUUAGAUACCCGAGUAGUC
rnacentral:rRNA from 1 species